GACGAACGCUGGCGGCGUGCUUAACACAUGCAAGUCGAACGGAAAGGCCCUGCUUUUGUGGGGUGCUCGAGUGGCGAACGGGUGAGUAACACGUGAGUAACCUGCCCUCGACUUUGGGAUAACUUCAGGAAACUGGGGCUAAUACCGGAUAGGAGCUCCUGCUGCAUGGUGGGGGUUGGAAAGUUUCGGCGGUUGGGGAUGGACUCGCGGCUUAUCAGCUUGUUGGUGGGGUAGAGGCUUACCAAGGCUUUGACGGGUAGCCGGCCUGAGAGGGUGACCGGCCACAUUGGGACUGAGAUACGGCCCAGACUCCUACGGGAGGCAGCAGUGGGGAAUAUUGCACAAUGGGCGGAAGCCUGAUGCAGCAACGCCGCGUGCGGGAUGACGGCCUUCGGGUUGUAAACCGCUUUCGCCUGUGACGAAGCGUGAGUGACGGUAAUGGGUAAAGAAGCACCGGCUAACUACGUG
rnacentral:rRNA from 1 species